rnacentral:rRNA from 1 species
UACGUAGGGGGCUAGCGUUGUCCGGAUUUAUUGGGCGUAAAGAGCGUGUAGGCGGCCAGGUAGGUCUGCUGUGAAAACUCGAGGCUCAACCUCGAGACGUCGGCGGAAACCAUCUGGCUAGAGUCCGGAAGAGGAGAGUGGAAUUCCUGGUGUAGCGGUGAAAUGCGCAGAUAUCAGGAAGAACACCCGUGGCGAAGGCGGCUCUCUGAGACGGUACUGACGCUGAGACGCGAAAGCGUGGGGAGCGAACAGG